GAUGAACGCUGGCGGCGUGCCUAAUACAUGCAAGUCGAGCGAACGGACGAGAAGCUUGCUUCUCUGAUGUUAGCGGCGGACGGGUGAGUAACACGUGGAUAACCUACCUAUAAGACUGGGAUAACUUCGGGAAACCGGAGCUAAUACCGGAUAAUAUUUUGAACCGCAUGGUUCAAUAGUGAAAGACGGUUUUGCUGUCACUUAUAGAUGGAUCCGCGCUGCAUUAGCUAGUUGGUAAGGUAACGGCUUACCAAGGCAACGAUGCAUAGCCGACCUGAGAGGGUGAUCGGCCACACUGGAACUGAGACACGGUCCAGACUCCUACGGGAGGCAGCAGUAGGGAAUCUUCCGCAAUGGGCGAAAGCUUGACGGAGCAACGCCGCGUGAGUGAUGAAGGUCUUCGGAUCGUAAAACUCUGUUAUUAGGGAAGAACAAAUGUGUAAGUAACUAUGCACAUCUUGACGGUACCUAAUCAGAAAGCCACGGCUAACUACGUG
rnacentral:rRNA from 1 species